UCCCUCCUCUUCCUCUUGUGCAGCUGCGGCGACAGGCAGCUGCCCUUCCUCUGCGAUGCGGCGCUGCCUCUCCACUCCCCACCGAUGUCGCCCCACCGUCCCAGUCCCCCGCGACCAUCCGGCCGCCAGCAGAAGUAACUGCAGCACGGCUCUGCCCGAAGCCACCAGUAGCCGGAGGGCACGGCCUUUGACCCGCUCCCCACGCCGUCGCCGGCUCCAUGGCCGCGCCUAUAGGGCGGUGCCUACACCAGCGGCAGUCGGAGCCCGGCCGUCAUCCGCCUCCCGCCGGUCGCUUUUUUCUCUUUCUCUAUUUUCUGAGUGUUUUUCGGUGAUUUUUCGUUCGUCGCUUUUGAUUACGAUUUGGGGCAGAUUUCUGGGGGCAAAUCGGUGCUAGGACAUUUGUGAUGGAGUCUAGGAUGAUCCAUUAGGAAAUUCCUCAUUUGAACACACGGAUUUGAUUAUUCCCCAAAAUUUCCCCCUUUUCUAGGGUUCCACGAAUUUCUAAAAUUGGUAACGAGUUCUUAAUAUUUUGAGGUUCCUCUGCUCGGAUCUAUUUGCUUAUGAUGUGGUGAGGUAGCGGUUUGAAUCUCUUGUCGAUUCGAGUUGUUCUGUUGGUAUUCCUGGAAUUCUUGUAGAGCUGGCCGCUGAUGUUCGUGCGGUGAGUCUUGCAUCGGGUCUCUGGCGUUGCAGAGUUUUUGCUGCUGGUCUCUUCUAGCAUUUAGAAGCCCUUUCGUCCGUAUUCUUGCAGCAGCAGCAACCUCCUAGCUUCAGCUCGCAAGCUUUCUGUUCACUUCAAGCAGCUCGUAGCUACUGUUCAGAGUACAUGCCAUCUUCUUUUCCUUUAUCUCUUUCCAUCUCUCACUCGAGCUCCUUGCUGAAUUACACUGCAGGGAAUUGGGUCAUACAACUGGGGUUAUGGAUCUGUAUGCUGCCUGUUUGAUUAUGCAGAAGACUAGCAGACAAAGACUCUGUGUUUGUGCAGGGAAGCAGUAGAGGCAGCAGGCCAACAGUUUCACACUUGUUCAGUUCAGUGACAAUCAGGAAAAACUGGGAGAAUUAGAACUGAACAAAGAGGGGUUGCUUUAGGCCUGGCAGUGAAGAAGUUGUAUGCUAAGAUGAUCUAUUUUCUAUGGUUUUAAUGUAAUGCUGGAGGGAAACUUGACAUGAUCUUAAUGUAUUUGAUGUGAUGCCUUUAUGUUCACUUCAGUUUGUUUUGUGUACAAAAUUAUGAAGAUGUAUGGAAUUGUUAUUUUGGAAUUGGGCUUCAUGUUCU